AGAACAACAACCUUGUGAGGUGGAUUGGUCUGAGAGAGAGUGAUUGGUCCAAAUUAUAUCCUCAGAUUGGCAGGCAAGUCCAAAAGAUCUUAUACUGAAAUCAGAGAGGGAGAACAACACUGCAUCUGCACAGUUAGACUGAUAAGUACUAAACAAAACAUUGUGGGGCAAAGGAAUCACUUACCUUGAUUGACAACAAAUCGUAACUUCUGUAUCGUUGCCAGAUUGCCGCUGACUCUGUAUAUUCCAUCAACAUCCAGACCUGGAAAAUGAAGACAUACUUUAUAUUGGCUUCGCCUUUUGGAUGUCCUGGAUUACGUUUUACAGUUCCAAUUAUAGUUUAACACUAGCCGUUCUCCCAAGGACUUAUGGAAACUAAGGUUCAACAACACCUGAACACAUCAACACAUCUAGUGACUGUAUUUUCUUGACGCAAAGAAAAAAGAAAUAUCAAAUGUUAAAAAAUUAUAUGUGGAAUUUUGCCUCUUCAUAUAAACUCAGUACCUUUGGAUCUCUCUGUGUACUAUAUGAUAUGACUACUGGUUUAUUCUAAUAAUCACUGAAGCAGUAGGCAUGAGUUUAAAUGGACUCCAGAGGAUGUUAAAGGACAGGAAGGCCUGGAGGAACGUUGUCCAUGGGGUCACAAUGGAUCGGACACAACUUCACAACAAACAACAAACAACAAAAUAUUCUAAUUUGGAUAGCCUUCUGCAGACACUAAGCAGAAAUAUAAAAUCUGAUCUUUCAGUUUCAUUAAGAGAACGUAAAUAGCACAUUGUUACUUUUUUCAGCCUUUUCUAUUACAAAUCCUUACUCACAA